rnacentral:rRNA from 1 species
GUGCUAACGUCCGUCGUGGAGAGGGAAACAACCCAGACCGCCAGCUAAGGUCCCCAAGUACUAGUUAAGUGGGAAACGAUGUGGGAAGGCAUAGACAGCCAGGAGGUUGGCUUAGAAGCAGCCACCCUUUAAAGAAAGCGUAAUAGCUCACUGGUCGAGUCGGCCUGCGCGGAAGAUGUAACGGGGCUAAAACUAGUCACCGAAGCUGCGGAUGUGCGCGAAGGCGCACGUGGUAGGGGAGCGUUCUGUAGGCUGAUGAAGGUGCAUUGAGAAGUGUGCUGGAGGUAUCAGAAGUGCGAAUGCUGACAUGAGUAACGAUAAUGUGGGUGAAAAGCCCACACGCCGGAAGUCCCAGGUUUCCUGCACGACGUUAAUCGGAGCAGGGUGAGUCGGCCCCUAAGGCGAGGCUGAAGAGCGUAGUCGAUGGGAACCAGGUUAAUAUUCCUGGACUUUUUAUAAGUGGUGAAGUGGGGACGAAGAAGGCUAGGUGAGCCAGGCGUUGGUUGUCCUGGUACUUGCAUGUAGGGGGGAAGACUUGGCAAAUCCGGUUUUCCAUAACUCUGAGGUGCGAAGUGGUUCUGACCUUUUGGUACAGAGAAGUCAUUGAUGCCCGGCUUCCAGGAAAAGCUGCUAGCCAUAACUUAUAGAGAACCGUACCGCAAACCGACACAGGUGGACAGGUAGAGAAUACUAAGGCGCUUGAGAGAACUCGGGUGAAGGAACUAGGCAAAAUGGUACCGUAACUUCGGGAGAAGGUACGCCCUUUCUGGUGAUGGGAUUUACUUUCAGAGCUGGAGAGGGCCGCAGAGACCAGGUGGCUGCGACUGUUUAUUAAAAACACAGCACUCUGCAAAUUCGUAAGAAGACGUAUAGGGUGUGACGCCUGCCCGGUGCCGGAAGGUUAAUUGAUGGGGUUAUCUUCGGAGAAGCUCUUGAUCGAAGCCCCGGUAAACGGCGGCCGUAACUAUAACGGUCCUAAGGUAGCGAAAUUCCUUGUCGGGUAAGUUCCGACCUGCACGAAUGGCGUAACGAUGGCCACACUGUCUCCACCCGAGACUCAGUGAAAUUGAAAUCGCUGUGAAGAUGCAGUGUACCCGCGGCUAGACGGAAAGACCCCGUGAACCUUUACUAUAGUUUUGCACUGGACUUUGAUGAUGACUGUGUAGGAUAGGUGGGAGGCUGUGAAGUGAGGACGCUAGUUCUCAUGGAGCCGCCCUUGAAAUACCACCCUGUUGUUAUUGAGGUUCUAACUUGGUCCAGUAAUCCUGGAUGAGGACAGUGUAUGAUGGGUAGUUUGACUGGGGCGGUCUCCUCCCAAAGAGUAACGGAGGAGCACAAAGGUACCCUCGGUACGGUCGGACAUCGUACCAAGAGUGUAAAGGCAAAAGGGUGCUUGACUGCGAGAGUGACGGCUCGAGCAGGAACGAAAGUUGGUCUUAGUGAUCCGGUGGUUCUGAAUGGAAGGGCCAUCGCUCAACGGAUAAAAGGUACUCCGGGGAUAACAGGCUGAUACCGCCCAAGAGUUCAUAUCGACGGCGGUGUUUGGCACCUCGAUGUCGGCUCAUCACAUCCUGGGGCUGAAGCAGGUCCCAAGGGUAUGGCUGUUCGCCAUUUAAAGUGGUACGCGAGCUGGGUUUAGAACGUCGUGAGACAGUUCGGUCCCUAUCUGCCGUGGGCGUAGGAAAAUUGAGAGGAGCUGCUCCUAGUACGAGAGGACCGGAGUGGACGAACCUCUGGUGCACCGGUUGUCACGCCAGUGGCAUGGCCGGGUAGCUAAGUUCGGACGGGAUAACCGCUGAAAGCAUCUAAGCGGGAAGCCUCCCUCAAGAUGAGUUUUCCCAUGAAGCCCGUUGAAGACUACGACGUUGAUAGGCAAGGUGUGGAAGCGCAGUAAUGCGUGAAGCUAACUUGUACUAAUUGGCUGAUUGUCUUGACCA